AUAUAUAAUGAUGGUGCAUUAUUCUAGUUAUGCUAUCUAUUAUGAGGGUGGGGCUAAAAAUCCACUAAAUGGCACAUCGUUGAAGUUUCUUGUCGGUGCGCGUUACGCCCAGUUAUGUGUACUUUCAGGGAGUAAAGAAUUUAGGGUAAAAUAUAACGGCAUAUAUUGUAUCCCUAUUUUCGCGGAGGCUUAUUAUAUAGUAUAUAUAAUUUACUAAUUCAUAAGUGUAACCUAUGUAAAGUGCCAAGACACAAUACAUAGUGUAGCCAGUCUUGAGUGAUGAUAUUGGGAUUUACUUCUAACAGUUAUAGUUUAAAGUGGCCAUUUAGAUUGUAGCUUAUGUAAUGAAACUAUUAUUGCAAAAAAGAAUAAUAAUAUGAUCUAGCAUAUUAAGGAAAUCUUCUAGAAUGUUGGCUUUCAAAAGCUUGGUUAUUUAAGGAUUAAGGUAUGGAUUUAAGUGGCGAUCUAGUUUUCUUUAAGGUAACUUAAGAAUAUUUUUCUUAAAUGGAAACGGCUAAAUAGUAAUAUUUAGUGAAAAAUAGAGAAAUUCUACUAGACCUAAACCAUAAAAUUUACUUAAAUAACUACCAUCUUAUUCUUUUUU
rnacentral:sRNA from 1 species